rnacentral:rRNA from 1 species
AUGCUAGCUAGCUUGAUCAUCACAGCAAUGCCCUCCACCAACAGCUGGACCCAUGAGAUCGAGUCGCCGGUCGCCGCCCCGCGCCUCUUCCGCGCCGGCAUCAUGGACUGGCACACCCUAGCCCCCAAGCUCGUGCCGCAGAUCGUCGCCAGCGCCCACGCUGUUGAGGGAGAAGGCGGCGUAGGAAGCGUCAGGCAGUUCAACUUCACCUCAGUUCCCUAUCUCGCAGCCAUGCCCUUCAACCUCAUCAAGGAGAGGCUCGAGUUCCUUGACGUGGACAAGUGCGAGUGCAAGUCGACCCUCAUCGAGGGUGGUGGCAUCGGCGCCGCGAUUGAGGCGGCCACGUCGCACAUCAAGGUGGAGUCGGCGGCCAACGGCGGCAGCAUGGUCAAGGUGAAAUCAACAUACAAGCUGCUGCCGGGCAUGGAGGUGGAGGAUGAGAUCACCAAGGCCAAGGGCUAUGCCACGGCCAUCUUCAAGGCCGCCGAGGCCUACCUUAUCGCCAACCCGGAUGCCUACAACGACCAAAUAAAUCAGUCAACAGAGAUCAUAUAUAUGAUUAACAUGUGA